CCUAUUUUCACAGGUUGUGAAAAUCCUAUCAUGAAACCUCGAUGAUAUGAUGGAGAUUUAGUACUUAAAAAAGACAAUUGUGCGGUACAUAAAACCUGAUUUCGACUACAAUCAUCAAUUAUAAGAGCGUCGUGAAUAAAAUCAAAAAGCAUCUCAAAACCAUUUCAACAAACCCACACAAAGAUAAAGCAAAAUUAAAUGAGCUAACAUAUGUAUUGCCACACCAUUUGCCUCACUGACUUGUGUGUAUAAAAGAUUAUUACCUGGAUAAUUAACUUCGCAUAACCCGAACACCAUCAAUGGUACGCCCUACAAAAGAACCAUCUCCACCCGGACGCCUUAUUACUAAAUAGAUAUGCAAUAACAUGAAUAUGUGAGUACUUUAUAUCACGGUUAUGUAACUGUCACACUUAAAAAUUUAUUAUUCUACGUAUGUCUAUCUAACUAGUUAAUUAACCUUAAUUUGUUUGUACUUCUGCAGUCUAACCCAUGCAGGUGGUGGAUUUAAGAUUUGAAUUGUGGGGGUUCCAAUGUUGAAAGUUCAAGUUUUUAAGAUACAAAUAUAGUGCGAAUUGCGCAAACAAAUUUCAGUUAUUCACAAAGGCAUUUCAUCGAAACUUGGUGGGCUUGUUGUCGUAAGCUGAACCAUGUUGUGCAUAUGUCAACAAAUAUCGACAUUUGCCGAAAAAAUAUGAUGAGUGCUAAAGCAUUUGUCGAGUGUUGUCGAUGCAACCUGUCAGAGUCUCCUGAAAUAUAUCUAGCAGACGUGACAUCAAACACUUGGUGAGCACAAAAAGGAUCCGUGCCAAACAUUUAAAGGGUUUCCAAAAGACAUGCACAUGCUUGUUUCUU
rnacentral:lncRNA from 1 species